rnacentral:rRNA from 1 species
CCGCAAGGUUGAAACUCAAAGAAAUUGACGGGGGCCCGCACAAGCGGUGGAGCAUGUGGUUUAAUUCGACGCUACGCGCAAAACCUUACCUGGGCUUGACAUGUUUGUGGUAGGAACCCGAAAGGGAGACGACCUACUCUUCGGAGUAGGAGCUUGCACAGGUGCUGCAUGGCUGUCGUCAGCUCGUGCCGUGAGGUGUUGGGUUAAGUCCCGCAACGAGCGCAACCCUCAUCCUUUGUUGCCCUUCACGGGGCUCUCUAAGGAAACUGCCGGCGAAGAGCUGGAGGAAGGUGGGGAUGACGUCAAGUCCGCAUGGCCCUUAUGCCCAGGGCUACACACGUGCUACAAUGGCAGGUACAAAGGGACGCCAAUCCGCGAGGUGGAGCCAAUCCCAUAAAGUCGGUCUCAGUUCGAAUUGAAGUCUGCAACUCGACUUCAUGAAGCUGGAGUUGCUAGUAAUCCCGGAUCAGCACGCCGGGGUGAAUACGUUCCCGGGCCUUGUACACACCGCCCGUCACACCACGAAAGUCGGCAACACCCAAAGCCGGUGGCCUAACCGCAAGGAAGGAGCCGUCUAAGGUGGGGUCGGUGAUUGGGGUG